rnacentral:tRNA from 1 species
GGCGGGGUGGCCAAGUGGUAAGGCAGGGGACUGCAAAUCCCUUAUGCGCGGGUUCAGAUCUCCCGCCACCUGCCU